rnacentral:lncRNA from 10 species
GGUUGCAGUAUGAAGAUCUGACUGGAAGAACACACGCACAGAUGCAGGGAAACCAGUUAAGAGAUCGGAGCAGCUGUCCAGGUGAGUGAAACUGGCAUCCUGAAUUAGAUUCAUGGUGGUGAAGAUAAGGAGAUGUGAACAAACUAGAUAUUUGGGAGGUAGGAAAAAUAGAACUUAGUGAUUGUGACCAGGCGCAGUGGCUCACACCUGUAAUCCCAGCACUUUGGGAGGCCGAGGCAGGCAGAUCACUUGAGGUCAGGAGUUCGAGACCAGUCUCGCCAACAUGAUGAAACCCGCUACUCUAUAAAAAUACAAAAAGUUAGCCGGGUGUGGUG